rnacentral:rRNA from 1 species
UACAGAGGUGGCAAGCGUUGUUCGGAAUUACUGGGCGUAAAGGGCGCGUAGGCGGCCUUCUAAGUCAGACGUGAAAUCCCCCGGCUUAACCUGGGAACUGCGUCUGAUACUGGGAGGCUUGAGUAUGGGAGAGGGAUGUAGAAUUCCCGGUGUAGCGGUGAAAUGCGCAGAUAUCGGGAGGAACACCGGUGGCGAAGGCGGUUCUCUGGGCCUUACCUGACGCUGAGGAGCGAAAGCGUGGGGAGCGAACAGG